AAGGAUUAUCACCAACCACCAAAGCCUCCUCCUCACUGACAGGAGUGCUGUGUACAUUUCAUGCUGUUAUAACUGAGGCCAAACACUUCAGUCAGAGUGGAGACACUGAAGAGACUAAAGAAGAAGAGACAACAGGAGUCACUGUCUCAUUGUAAUGCACCCAGUAAGGUCAGCAGGAACACCUCCUCACAUGUUCGCCCGCCUUCCCAGAGAGGAGCUCAUGAUUCACAGAAACAGCCGUCAGAGACGCAGCUCCAACACGAGGAGAGGGAGAAGAUGAUUCAGCUCCUUCUGUUUUUCAGCACGAUGUCCUCCGUCUGGAUGUUUGUUGUUAAAAAGGCUCCGACUGUCUAUCAGGCAGAGGAGGAAGGCAACAUCACCAUCAGAUGGGACAGUCGGAUCCAAAC